UACGGGGGGGCAAGCGUUGUUCGGAAUUACUGGGCGUAAAGGGCUCGUAGGCGGCCAACUAAGUCAGACGUGAAAUCCCUCGGCUUAACCGGGGAACUGCGUCUGAUACUGGAUGGCUUGAGAUUGGGAGACUGGAAUUCCUGGUGUAGCGGUGAAAUGCGCAGAUAUCAGGAGGAACACCGAUGGCGAAGGCAGGUCUCUGGGCCACUACUGACGCUGAGAAGCGAAAGCAUGGGGAGCGAACAGG
rnacentral:rRNA from 1 species